ACUGCUCAGUAACACGUGGACAACCUGCCCUUAGGUUGGGUAUAAACCCGGGAAACUGGGUAUAAUACCCGAUAGGUCUCGAUUGCUGGAAUGCAUCGAGAUUUAAAGCUCCGGCGCCUAAGGAUGGGUCUGCGGCCCAUCAGGUAGUAGUGGGUGUAGCGUACCUACUAGCCUACGACGGGUACGGGUUGUGAGAGCGAGAGCCCGGAGAUGGAUUCUGAGACACGAAUCCAGGCCCUACGGGGUGCAGCAGGCGCGAAAACUUUACAAUGCUGGCAACAGCGAUAAGGGAACCUCGAGUGCCAGGUUACAAAUCUGGCUGUCGAGAUGCCUAAAAAGCAUUUCAUAGCAAGGGCCGGGCAAGACCGGUGCCAGCCGCCGCGGUAACACCGGCGGCUCGAGUGGUAACCGUUAUUAUUGGGUCUAAAGGGUCUGUAGCCGGCCGGAUAAGUCUCUUGAGAAAUCUGGCAGCUUAACUGUCAGGCUUUCAGGAGAUACUGUCUGGCUCGAGGCCGGGAGAGGUGAGAGGUACUUCAGGGGUAGGGGUGAAAUCUUGUAAUCCUUGAAGGACCACCAGUGGCGAAGGCGUCUCACCAGAACGGACCUGACGGCAAGGGACGAAAGCUAGGGGCACGAACCGGAUUAGAUACCCGGGUAGUCCUAGCCGUAAACGAUACUCGCUAGGUGUCGGCCACGGUGCGACCGUUGUCGGUGCCGUAGGGAAGCCGUGAAGCGAGCCACCUGGGAAGUACGGCCGCAAGGCUGAAACUUAAAGGAAUUGGCGGGGGAGCAC
rnacentral:rRNA from 1 species